rnacentral:SRP_RNA from 10 species
GCUGCGCAUGGUGGCAUGUGUCUGUAGUCCCAGCUACUUGGAAGACUAAGGCAAAGAGAAUCGCUUGAGCCUAGGAGCUCUGGGCUGUAAUGUGCUGUGCUGGUUGGGUGUCUGCACUAAGUUUGGCGUCAAUAUGGUGACCUCCCGGGAGCGGGAGACCACCAGAUUGCCUGAGGAGGGGUGAACUAGCCCAGACUGGAAACAAAGCAGCUCCAAGCUCCCAUGCUAAUCAGUGAUGGGAUUAUGUCUGUGAAUAGCUACUGCACUCCAGCCUGGGCAACACAAUGAGACCCUGUCU